GGGGAUAUAGCUCAGUUGGUAGAGUACUUGCCUUGCAUACAUAAGGGCCUGGGUUCCAUCCCCAGCACCA
rnacentral:tRNA from 1 species